rnacentral:rRNA from 1 species
AGAUGACGCUGGCGGCGUGCCUAAUACAUGCAAGUCGAGCGAAUGGAUUAAGAGCUUGCUCUUAUGAAGUUAGCGGCGGACGGGUGAGUAACACGUGGGUAACCUGCCCAUAAGACUGGGAUAACUCCGGGAAACCGGGGCUAAUACCGGAUAACAUUUUGAACCGCAUGGUUCGAAAUUGAAAGGCGGCUUCGGCUGUCACUUAUGGAUGGACCCGCGUCGCAUUAGCUAGUUGGUGAGGUAACGGCUCACCAAGGCAACGAUGCGUAGCCGACCUGAGAGGGUGAUCGGCCACACUGGGACUGAGACACGGCCCAGACUCCUACGGGAGGCAGCAGUAGGGAAUCUUCCGCAAUGGACGAAAGUCUGACGGAGCAACGCCGCGUGAGUGAUGAAGGCUUUCGGGUCGUAAAACUCUGUUGUUAGGGAAGAACAAGUGCUAGUUGAAUAAGCUGGCACCUUGACGGUACCUAACCAGAAAGCCCGGCUAAAUACGUGCCACAACCCGCGGUAGUACGUAAGUGGGCAAGCGUUAUCCGGAAUUAUUGGGCGUAAAUCCACAAAGGAGGUUUUCUUAACCCGGAUGGGAAGCCCC